UACGAAGGGGGCUAGCGUUGUUCGGAUUUACUGGGCGUAAAGCGCACGUAGGCGGAUCGUUAAGUCGGGGGUGAAAUCCUGGAGCUCAACUCCAGAACUGCCUUCGAUACUGGCGAUCUCGAGUCCGGAAGAGGUGAGUGGAACUCCUAGUGUAGAGGUGGAAUUCGUAGAUAUUAGGAAGAACACCAGUGGCGAAGGCGACUCACUGGUCCGGUACUGACGCUGAGGAGCGAAAGCGUGGGUAGCGAACAGG
rnacentral:rRNA from 1 species